rnacentral:SRP_RNA from 1 species
GCUGGGCACAGUGGCGCGUGCCUGUAGUCCCAGCUACUCAGGAGGCUAAGGUUGGAGGAUCACUUGAGUCCAGGAGUUCUGGGCUGUAGUGUGCUAUGUGGAUCAGGUGUUUGCACUAAGGUUGGCAUCAAUAUGGUGACCUCCCAGGAGCGGGGGACCACCAGGUUGCCUAAGGAGGGGUGAACCGGCCCAGGUCGGAAACAGAGCAGGUCAAAACUCCCAUGCUGACCAGUAGUGGGAUCACGCCUGUGAAUAGCCACUGCACUCCAGCCUGGGCAACAUAGCGAGACCCCAUCUCU